rnacentral:rRNA from 1 species
GAUGAACGCUAGCGGGAGGCCUAACACAUGCAAGCCGAGCGGUAUUUGUUCUUCGGAACAGAGAGAGCGGCGCACGGGUGCGGAACACGUGUGCAACCUGCCUUAUUUGGGGGAUUGGCCUUUCUAAAGAAGAUUAAUUACCCCUUAUAUUUUUAAUUGGAUUCCUUUGUUUUUAAAACCUCCGUUGAUUGAGGUUGGGCACGCGCAAGAUUAGAUAGUUGGUGAGGUAACGGCUCACCAAGUCAAUGAUCUUUAGGGGCCCUGAGAGGGUGAUCCCCCACACUGGUACUGAGACACGGACCAGACUCCUACGGGAGGCAGCAGUGAGGAAUAUUGGACAAUGGGUUAGCGCCUGAUCCAGCCAUCCCGCGUGAAGGACGACGGCCCUAUGGGUUGUAAACUUCUUUUGUAUAGGGAUAAACCUACUCUCGUGAGAGUAGCUGAAGGUACUAUACGAAUAAGCACCGGCUAACUCCGUG